UACGGGGGGAGCAAGCGUUGUUCGGAUUUACUGGGCGUAAAGGGCGCGUAGGCGGUCAGCACAAGUCAGUUGUGAAAUCUCCGGGCUUAACUCGGAAAGGUCAACUGAUACUGUGCGACUAGAGUGCAGAAGGGGCAACUGGAAUUCUCGGUGUAGCGGUGAAAUGCGUAGAUAUCGAGAGGAACACCUGCGGCGAAGGCAGCUCGCUGGGACGGUACUGACGCUGAGACGCGAAAGCGUGGGGAGCAAACAGG
rnacentral:rRNA from 1 species